rnacentral:rRNA from 1 species
UUUGAUCCGUAGAUAUCCGAAUAGGGGGAAACCCGGCCGCGCAAGCGUCACUCCACCUGAAUAUAGUAGGGUGGUAGAGCGAACGCAGCGAACUGAAACAUCUAAGUAGCUGCAGGAAAAGAAAUCAACCGAGAUUCCCAAAGUAGUGGCGAGCGAAAUGGGAAGAGCCUGUAUGUGAUAGUCAACUGGUUAGUGGAACGGAAUGGAAAGUCCGGCGAUAGAGGGUGAUAGCCCCGUACACGAAAACUGGUUGGUGGUACUGAGCAUACGACAAGUAGGGCGGGGCACGAGAAACCUUGUCUGAACAUGGGGGGACCAUCCUCCAAGGCUAAAAUACUCGUAAUCGACCGAUAGUGAACCAGUACCGUGAGGGAAAGGCGAAAAGAACCCCGGGAGGGGAGUGAAAUAGAACCUGAAACCGUGUGCAUACAAACAGUGGGAGCGGACUUGUUCCGUGACUGCGUACCUUUUGUAUAAUGGGUCAGCGACUUACGUUCAGUAGCGAGCUUAACCGAGUAGGGGAG